AGAUCAAUCAAUAACAAAAUUUCCGUCCGUCAAGACAUUAAAAUAUAAAAAAAUAGGUGUGUUCACAGAUGGCCAUGGUCUGUGGUAGACCAUGGGCUUAGUCCAAGGUUUCUUCUAUCUGCUCUUUGCUAUUAUCACAUCACUGUCCAGUGCUUUUGGUUGUACCAGGAAAGUAUACAUUGCCUGCAGGAAACCUGCGCCUUGUGGAAAGUAAAACCGUGAUACAAUAUGUCUAAAGUGGAUUGGACUUUUCUCUACAUAAUGAUUGUCACUCUGUUCUCAAUGUUUGGCUCCAGCUGGGCCUGUUGCAAAAAGAAAAUCCCAUGUACCGGCCGGGCGCCAUGUAGGAGAGGACCUUUCCGAAACUAGCCUUAAAAUGACUUAAUUUUUGAUUCAAGGUCAUAAUUAUUCAUGCACAGAAGACUAGUGAAUGAGGGAUUAAAAUGUAUAAAAGAACUGAAGGAAAUAUAAAUCCAUAUACAUGCAACCACCGAUGAUCCUGAUUCGUUAUUGAAGUCUUCGAAAGUGCUUCCAAAUGGAAACAUUUCAUUGAUGUACAAAAAUAAUAACCAAAGUGCUCAAUUUAAAUUGGAUUUUAAGCAAUAAAA